AUGGCCGAAUGCUUCAAUAGGGUGCUCAAAGGUGCACGUGGAUUACCCGUGACGGCAAUAGUUCAAUACACAUUUGACAAGAUGAAUGCGUACUUUGUAAAGUACUCGAUGGAAACCGAUGCACAGAUAGCGGGUGAGAACCCACGGAAGUACAAGUACAAGUUCCCACCCAAAGUUGAUGAAUGGUUGCUAUUUCAAUCACGGAAAGCGGACUCAGAAGAAGCUAUAUUAUAUGACAAUGAGGAGUGGAAGUACGAAGUGAAAGAGCCAGGAGGAACCACAAACAAUGGCCGGCAACAUGGAGGUCGGGCUUUCAAGGUGUCGUUAACACAAUGUGAUUGCACUUGCGGGAGGCCAUUGUUGCUUCAUCUCCCAUGCUGACAUUUGUAUGCCGCCGGCCGCGUUAGGAAUGUGGACAUCAAUCACCCACGCACCGUGAGGGAGUCCCAGUUCUCAAUCAUGACGGUCAAGAAAACAUGGGCUCCCCGCUUUCACCCAUACUUUGACCAAUCACAAUGGCCGGAGUAUCAUGGAGUUCAACUAUGGCCGGAUCCG
rnacentral:rRNA from 1 species